rnacentral:rRNA from 1 species
AGAGUUUGAUCCUGGCUCAGAACGAACUCUGGCGGCGUGUCUUAAGCAUGCAAGUCGAGCGGCAAGAAGGAAGCUUGCUUCCUUCCUAGAGCGGCGGACUGGUGAGUAACACGUGGGUAAUCUAUCUUUUAGGUUUGGGAUAGCCGCUAGAAAUAGCGGGUAAUACCGGAUGAGCUGUUAUAGCGAAAGGUUAUAACAGGAAAGGCGCUACGGCGCCGCCUUAAGCUGAGCCCGCGUCUCAUUAGCUAGUUGGUGGGGUAAGAGCCUACCAAGGCGAUGAUGAGUAGCCGGCCUGAGAGGGUGUACGGCCACACUGGGACUGAGAUACGGCCCAGACUCCUACGGGAGGCAGCAGCUAAGAAUAUUCCGCAAUGGACGCAAGUCUGACGGAGCGACGCCGCGUGGAUGAUGAAGGCCGUGAGGUUGUAAAAUCCUUUUGUUGGGGGAGAAUAACUGUCGGAGGGAAUGCCGGCAGGAUGACAUGAACCAACGAAUAAGCCCCGGCUAACUACGUGCCAGCAGCCGCGGUAACACGUAGGGGGCAAGCGUUGUUCGGAAUUACUGGGCGUAAAGGGCAUGUAGGCGGUUUAGUAAGCCUGGCGUGAAAGGCAGUGGCUUAACCACGGCAUUGCGUUGGGAACUGUUAGACUUGAAUCACGGAGAGGGAGCUGGAAUUCCAGGUGUAGGGGUGAAAUCUGUAGAUAUCUGGAAGAACACCAGUGGCGAAGGCGAGCUCCUGGCCGAUGAUUGACGCUGAGGUGCGAAAGUGUGGGGAUCAAACAAGAUUAGAGACCCUGGUAGUCCACACUG